AAAAAAUCUACCUAGGACCUGACAAAAUGAAGUAUUUUUUCUAAUAUAGGGUAUUUACAUGAUCGUUAUCACUUGCACGCAUUACUCAUUGCUGUAAAUUAGUCAGAAACUUUGAAAAUAACACCUGGGAGAGUGUUUCUCCAUCAGACUUGUUUAACCUUUUAUUACUAUUUUUUUCCAGUGUCAGAGUGGAAUUUAUGAUGUGGAAAGACUUGGAGCACCUGGCCUGUGAUUUUUAUCAAGUUCAUAAGCAACACCCUGGAGGCGUUUGGUGUGGAGAACAGUUACAACAAGAACUGCCAUUCAUUAAAGGAGGGGGUGUGGUGUGGUGUGCAAGAUACAGAAAGGUAAGGUUCAGUUCAAAAGACACUGUUUUCAAAAGUCAUUUUGACAAACUUGAGUGCUUAAGGUGUUCACUGCAUUUUUUGUUGGACACUUCCAAUAUCUCCUCUGGGUCUGAAGCAUCUACAACGUAUGCAUUCCUCAUCAUUGUAACAGCUCAAUCUUAUGGAUCAGUUUAAGCUGCAAGGGCACAGGUUGUGGCAUGCUUUGCUGCAGCUACAAUUGCCCUCAGGUCUCAUUCGGAAUCUGAGAACUGACUUCUGCAUUCUGGAAGGUGUUUUAUUGUACUUUCUGCCUUUUGUGUGAUACCUCAGGCACCUUUGGCCCCUGACCCUGUGGCCAUUGCUGACCAGGACGAAGAAGACUUUGGUUUUCUCCCACAUCAGCAAGAUUCAACUCCUUUCCAGAUGCCUUCUAUUGACAUUUCCAAGCCAGUGCCAAUUAAGGAUGCCCUUGAAACAGUGCCAGCUCUCCCAGAUUCUCCUGACAGGUUAGUGUUUGAUCGCAGGGCUUUUUUGAAAACAGAGAGAUCGCAGAGACAAAGCUUGAGAAGAAGCGCCAGAUUAGCGGAGCGUGGUGACUAUGGCUAAGCUCAUUUCUCUUGGGAAGAAUUAGGGAGUCAGGCACCUGGUUUGGGGGAGCUUAUGAACUUCAAAAAAAGUAUUGCGCUGGAAACUUUCCUUUGCAGUGUCAACGUUACCUCUUACUGAGAAGCAUCAUCGUCUCUAGCUCCUGAAUUCCAAGCGGCUUGAGGGUGCGCUUACUCCUGAGUAGACCGGGCGCUGGUCUACCUUCUUGCCCAAGUUUGGAUUGCAUUUCAGCUCCAGCUCAUGCCUUGCCUUGAAAUCCUUCUUUUGGACAUUUACUCCAGAGAACUCAUCUGUGCUACCUUGCUCCUUUUCCCCACUCAAUACUCAAGUCGCGUUUGAGUGUGUUUCGGUUUAUGGACUUUGGACCUUAAUAUUGGACAUAAGACUUUCACUUAUUGGACUAAUUUUGAUCUUUCCUGAAAGGUCAAUUGCUUGUUCAACUUUUCUGCUUAUUUUCUUUCAGAACUUUAUUUGCUUCAAUAAAGAUAUUAUAUUGUUA